rnacentral:rRNA from 1 species
AUUGAACGCUGGCGGCAUGCCUUACACAUGCGAGUCGAACGGUAACGGGCCUUCGGGUGCCGACGAGUGGCGAACGGGUGCGUAAUACAUCGGAACGUGCCCGAUCGUGGGGGAUAACGAGGCGAAAGCUUUGCUAAUACCGCAUACGAUCUACGGAUGAAAGCAGGGGACCGCAAGGCCUUGCGCGGACGGAGCGGCCGAUGGCAGAUUAGGUAGUUGGUGGGAUAAAAGCUUACCAAGCCGACGAUCUGUAGCUGGUCUGAGAGGAUGAUCAGCCACACUGGGACUGAGACACGGCCCAGACUCCUACGGGAGGCAGCAGUGGGGAAUUUUGGACAAUGGGCGCAAGCCUGAUCCAGCCAUGCCGCGUGCAGGAUGAAGGCCUUCGGGUUGUAAACUGCUUUUGUACGGAACGAAAAGCCUUCUUUUAAUACAGGAGGGUCAUGACGGUACCGUAAGAAUAAGCACCGGCUAACUACGUG